AAUACUGGUGUGCAGUGACAUUAGAGAGAGACGUGAAUUAUCUUUACACUCAUCUGAUCGUCAUCAUGAACGAGGGUGAGGAAGGUUUAUCAUCUGAAUAUGUGAAACUAUGGCUGUGAAUUGAUGUUCUUAUAUUUCUAAUCAUUUCCAGAGCUGAACUUGACUAAGUAUGAAGGAGACGACAUGUCAAUCCAGUGCAAACAUCAUGAUGAACAUCAGAAACUCUUCUGCAAAGCACAUGAACCCUCCAUGUGUGUGAAGGAUGGAGUUUCAUUGGAGACGAUCAGAGAUGAUCGAUUCUCUUUCAGUGAUGAAGCUUCUACUGGAGUCUUUACUGUAAACAUCACUGAUCUGAGAGAAGAGGAUUCUGGGAUAUACUGGUGUGGAGCUCAAAUCACCACUAAAGUCAACUUCACUGUUAAAAAGGAUUUCUCUUUGUUAAACAUUAUUUCUAUGUGUUCGACUCUGCUGCUGAUUGGAGGAUUCACUGUGACUGAGUGUUUAUUAAGAUGAGGUGAUGCUGUCCUUCAUGAACACACACUGAUUAUAACUACUACAGACUAACACAAAAACCGUUUAUGAAUAGUCUUUUUCCAAAUGAGGACAUCCAAAAUGUCUUCAAAGGGACGUUUUGUCAGAUGCAGGUCACAAACAAACAUACUUUUAAUCUUCAUUUUUCUUAAAAUGUGAUAAAACAUUAAAAAUAUAAGUCUUUUAAAAUCUUUUUGGUCACAGAAUUUCUCAUGAACUCUGUAGGUGUUUUUUGUGUUUGCGUGACGAUCAAUCCAGCUCAAAGCCACAGAAAACAGAUGAAGGUUCAGAGUCUCAGUUUAGUUUCCUGAAAAGAUCAAAAGACUCACUCAGGAAACCCACAGAGAACAGAGAGAGACGCUGAACAUCGUCUGUGGUCAGAAGACAAUAAAGUCUAAGAUUUGCCUUGUUAUUACUGAAGAUGUUCUAUAAUUAAAAUAUAAAUAAUUACUUUUGCUUAUUUAACUAUUAAACAGGCUGAACCAC